GCAAUUGAUUCUAUUGUCGACGGUUUUAAGGGGUUUCAAAACGAUCCCGGCAAGGCCGGUUCCUUGUGGAUUGUCUAGAAAACCCUGAAUGAAUUAACGGAAUUAACUAUCAUUUUAAAAUAAUUAGCGGGAAAAGAAUGCCAGGCUGCUAAGCUAGAACUUAGCCCAGUGGAAAACGCACGUUUGAAAACGUGAGCAUUUGACCAC